GUAAGGGAUAUUGCACAAUGGGCGAAAGCCUGAUGCAGCAACGCCGCGUGCGCGAUGAAGGCCUUCGGGUCGUAAAGCGCUUUUCGGGUCGAGAAAGGCUGAGAAUACUCAGCUUGAUGGUAAGCCCGGAAUAAGUGUCGGCUAACUACGUGCCAGCAGCCGCGGUAAAACGUAGGACGCAAGCGUUAUCCGGAGUUACUGGGCGUAAAGCGCGGGCAGGCGGGCGCGCAAGUCGGACGUGAAAGCCGCUGGCUUAACUGGCGGAGGCCGUUCGAAACUGCGUGUCUGGAGGGCAGGAGAGGUGCGUGGAAUUCCGGGUGGAGUGGUGAAAUGCGUAGAGAUCCGGAGGAACACCAGAGGCGAAAGCGGCGCACCGGACUGCACCUGACGCUGAACCGCGAAAGCCAGGGGAGCGAACGGGAUUAGAUACCCGAGUAGUCC
rnacentral:rRNA from 1 species